UGCCAGCCGCCGCGGUAAUACGGAGGGAGCAAGCGUUGCUCGGAAUUACUGGGCGUAAAGCGAGCGUAGGCGGUUAAUCAAGUUGGUGGUGAAAGCCCAGAGCUUAACUCUGGAACUGCCAUCAAAACUGGUUGACUAGAGAUUGGUAGAGGAAAAUGGAAUUCCUAGUGUAGAGGUGAAAUUCGUAGAUAUUGGGAAGAACACCAGUGGCGAAGGCGAUUUUCUGGGCCAAUUCUGACGCUGAGGUUCGAAAGCGUGGGUAGCAAACAGGAUUAGAUA
rnacentral:rRNA from 1 species